rnacentral:rRNA from 1 species
CUAGUGUGCCAGCCGCCGCGGUAAUACGGAGGGUGCAAGCGUUAAUCAGAAUUACUGGGCGUAAAGAGCGCGUUAGGUGGUUUUUAAGUCAGGUGUGAAAUCCCUAGGCUCAACCUAGGAACUGCAUUUGAAACUGGAAAACUAGAGUUUCGUAGAGGGAGGUAGAAUUCUAGGUGUAGCGGUGAAAUGCGUAGAUAUCUGGAGGAAUACCCGUGGCGAAAGCGGCCUCCUAAACGAAAACUGACACUGAGGCGCGAAAGCGUGGGGGAGCAAACAGGAUUAGAUACCCUGGUAGUCCAUGCCGUAAACGAUGUCGACUUGGAGGUUGUUUCCAAGAGAAGUGACUUCCGAAGCUAACGCAUUAAGUCGACCGCCUGGGGAGUACGGCCGCAAGGCUA